UGUAGCACCUAAAUAGAACUAAAGAGCUGGAUGAUAAUACGAGCUUCUCACUGAUCGUCCUAGGCUUUCUUCUCGCGUCGAGACAUCUUGAUCAAGAGUUCAUAUUAGUGGUAUAAGAUUUGGUAUAUAGUAUCUGGAUUGUUGGAUGAGGGUUCACAAGGUCCGCACUGUCAGCAGUAACAGUUCAUGUGACAAGUUUUACGAAGUUCCAUGGAGUUGCAAAAACUCCAACAAAGACGAUUGUGCGUAAUCUGAAAGAAUACAUGGAGAAGAAGGGCUUACCAAAAGGGUUGGCUCUAGAGAGCUGCAAUAUUCUCGAAACUGCAGGACAUGGGGUAGUUGCUCCUCUUCACCAGACGCUGCAAUCUGCCAUUAAUGGGAAUGAUUCAGCAUUGCCAAAUUCUAGGACAGUUAUUUGGAUUUGAGGGAGAUCGCGUCAGCUUUUGAAAACGGGUUCUUAUAUUAAGGAAGCACAUUUCUGGUUUAGCUAAUUGUCACUCACAUAGAGCGGGAGGUUGAGCAACUUCUUUGGAAAAAAAUCUGGUGGCAAACAAGAAGAAAGGAAAGCUCGAACCAUCUGGGUGUCAGAAGCUGAUAGAAGAAGGAUGUUCAUAGAGAUCGUUCGGGAUUCUCUGGCCAAAAUGUCCAUCCCCAGCAGUAGGUCGCAAGAGGUCCUGGGAUCUUAAGUUCCCUUCCAUCGAACUUCAACGUGUAUGCUUGUCAAAGUGUCGGGGAUAGCUUUGAGAGGCCGGGGCAAUUUGGUAGUAGAGAGAGGCAAGGGCAAUUUGACAAUAGAGAGAGGAAGGGGCAAUUUGACAAUAGAGAGAGGCAAGGGUGGGCAGGACACAGUUUUGGUGAGGAAAGAGAAAUCACCGAAACUCAAUCCAACAGAACUCGGGAAGCAUUUGUGUGAGCUUGGAGAUCAGUUGUUUACAGGCACCUGUUACUCCAGUCCUAAAAACCACAGAACUAAAGAGCCUAGGCCAAAGGUACCACCAGCAUUCAAUAUCUAUCAGCAACAGGCAGUUGACUUCUUUCUGAUAGUCUUUCCAAGAUCACCUAGAAAGAUGCAAGUAAAGUCUGCCGAGCCAAUUCACUGGCAACACACAAAUUCGGUUAAGUUUCUACUGUGGGAAAAAACAUCUAUGGGAAAAUAGCAUCACAACAAUUUCAGAAGUUACAGCAAACAUCGUUGUAAGAAUCCUAACAGUAAAUCUACAAAAAACGCGUAAAGCAGGUGUGUGCUGCAGAAACUGGUAGGUGGCAUGGACUUGAUGUUGUGUUCCCAGUAGCGCAUUGCUACCUAAAAGAAUGCUUAACAGGGACUACAGGAAGAGGAUGACUGAUGCCCAAGCUUUGAUAUCCUUGGAUCAUCAGGAAAUUGGUUUCAUCAAGGUAAUUCUUUCUCUUUCUUUUAAUAAUUCAGCCUGUAAUUAGUAAUGGUGGUCUGAAGUUGAUUGGUUGGGAGUACUUGAUCGAUCGUCUGUAAUUAGGAUUUAUUUCACAUUCGGAAUUUAAAAAGUUUAAACCUGUAACAAAACCUGUAAUAAUCAUCAAAACGAUUAAAAUGUGUGGGUUAUUUGGACGAUUGAACAAUUGGAAAAUUUGAAGCUGUUUUUGUUAAAUCAAUUUUUGGCUAACGAUUUUCGGAAUUUAAAGAGUUAAAACCUGUAAUAAUCUUCAAAAUGAUUAAAAUGUGUGGCUUAUUUGGACGAUUGAACAAUUAGAAAAUUUGAAGCUUUUUUUGUUAAAUCAAUUUUCGGCUAACAAAUUCAUAGCAUUUCUGAAUUAAAAUCCGACUAAUUAUGUUUAAAUUUCUUCAAUUAUUACAGCUGUUUACCUCAAAAUCGAUCAAUUUCUUCAGUUCCCUGGAUGAAUUCGGAGAGAAGAACAGCAAUUACAAAGCUCAAUCAUACAGAAAGAACAACAAUAUUGAAGAAAAGGAGGAAGAAGAAACUUCAAUUACUGGUACUGAUCCUUGAAGUCGUCGCAACACCCCAAUGAUGAAGAAUUAAAGUAUCAAAAGUAUCUAUUAUUUGCAAGAUCUUCAAAAGUACCAGUAAAUGCUAAACUUGACCACUUAAAGGUUGGAUACCUUGAUUAUUGCAAGAAACGAGGCUUUGUCACCUGCUAUAUAAGCCCCUGUCCACCAGCGAAGGGAGAAGAAUAAUUUUAUAUUGUCAUCUAGAGACACAAAAAACACCCAGGCGAGUAUUUAAAACAUCUGAAUGGCUUCCUUACAUGGUUUGGGAAGGUAACAAGCAACUACAACUUUCUGAAGGCAUUACGCAAGUAGUUCAUUCUAUGUCGUCUAAUUCGUAAAUGAAAAACGUAUUUAAUACACUUUUCGAUUUCAUAUGUAGUAAGUGUUUUUUCUUGUAAAGUGACUAUAAAUUG